CUCUGUCUCUUCAGAAGUGCUGUUCACUACCCACUCAUCUAUUCUAACAAAACAUCAUUGAUCUUUCAAAAGUUAGAAGUUGUGGAAUUAUCCUGAGUUGGGAACGUGACAUUUACAACUCCACAGGAAGGGAAAAUGAUUAUUGAUGAGAAGACCAUGCUUCAAUGCCAGAUUGAAGGAUCAUGACCAAGAAGUAAAGAGAUCGCUGAAAGUAUGAAACUUAUUUAAAUAUGAAAUCUGUUCAGGAGUGGAAACA